GAUGAAGAACGCAGCGAAAUGCGAUAAGUAAUGCGAAUUGCAGAAUUCAGUGAAUCAUCGAAUCUUUGAACGCACAUUGCGCCCGCUGGUAUUCCGGCGGGCAUGCCUGUUCGAGCGUCAUUUCAACCCUCAAGCCCCCGGGUUUGGUGUUGGGGAUCGGCUCUGCCCUUCUGGGCGGUGCCGCCCCCGAAAUACAUUGGCGGUCUCGCUGCAGCCUCCAUUGCGUAGUAGCUAACACCUCGCAACUGGAACGCGGCGCGGCCAUGCCGUAAAACCCCAACUUCUGAAUGUUGACCUCGGAUCAGGUAGGAAUACCCGCUGAACUUAAGCAUAUCAAUAAGCGGAGGA
rnacentral:misc_RNA from 1 species